UCCUACGGGAGGCAGCAGUGGGGAAUAUUGCACAAUGGGGGAAACCCUGAUGCAGCGACGCCGCGUGGGUGACGAAGUAUUUCGGUAUGUAAAGCCCUAUCAGCAGGGAAGAAGAUGACAGUACCUGACUAAGAAGCCCCGGCUAACUACGUGCCAGCAGCCGCGGUAAUACGUAGGGGGCAAGCGUUAUCCGGAUUUACUGGGUGUAAAGGGAGCGUAGGCGGCAUGGCAAGCCAGACGUGAAAACCCGGGGCUU
rnacentral:rRNA from 1 species